UGUCACUCUCUGCAAACAGCAGCGCUCCCCUAAUGGCCUGGCCACUGGCGAGGGGCCGGGCGGCGCCCGGGGCCCGGCCGCUCCCAGCCCUCCUCGCUUUCCGCCACGCGGGAGGGUCACGCGCAAUCGGGACACCAUCUGUUGGCCUGCCGGGGACACGUGGGAGGUGGGAGGUGGGGAGGGACAGGAUGGCAGUCUUGGAAAAGGAGGCCAUCGUGGGCACGGGGGAGAGAGCGCUGACCCCGCGGCUCUCUGAAUUUACCGGUGUGACCUCGGACGAGUCCCUCCCCGGGGCUCAGUUUACUCCUCCGGCAAAUGAGGGGAUCAGGCCAUGACAUGAUUAAUCGUUUUCUUCUGAUCUAAUUUUGGAACAUGAAAAACAGCACAUUUGUCUCGAAGAAAAAUGAUGUGCCGAACUGCGCAGAUGGAAAUUUCGAGCAAUGAGAAAGAUUAAAGUGAAACUCCGCUCCUUAGA